rnacentral:rRNA from 1 species
AUUGAACGCUGGCGGCAGGCCUAACACAUGCAAGUCGAGCGGAUGAAGGGAGCUUGCUCCUGGAUUCAGCGGCGGACGGGUGAGUAAUGCCUAGGAAUCUGCCUGGUAGUGGGGGAUAACGUCCGGAAACGGGCGCUAAUACCGCAUACGUCGUGAGGGAGAAAGUGGGGGAUCUUCGGACCUCACGCUAUCAGAUGAGCCUAGGUCGGAUUAGCUAGUUGGUGGGGUAAAGGCCUACCAAGGCGACGAUCCGUAACCGGUCUGAGAGGAUGAUCAGUCACACUGGAACUGAGACACGGUCCAGACUCCUACGGGAGGCAGCAGUGGGGAAUAUUGGACAAUGGGCGAAAGCCUGAUCCAGCCAUGCCGCGUGUGUGAAGAAGGUCUUCGGAUUGUAAAGCACUUUAAGUUGGGAGGAAGGGCAGUAAGUUAAUACCUUGCUGUCUUGACGUUACCAACAGAAUAAGCACCGGCUAACUUCGUG